UACGUAGGGUGCGAGCGUUAAUCGGAAUUACUGGGCGUAAAGCGUGCGCAGGCGGUUCGUUGUGUCGGCGGUGAAAGCCCCGGGCUUAACCUGGGAAUGGCCGUCGAAACUGGCGAACUGGAGUGUGGCAGAGGGGGGUGGAAUUCCGCGUGUAGCAGUGAAAUGCGUAGAGAUGUGGAGGAACACCGAUGGCGAAGGCAGCCCCCUGGGUCAACACUGACGCUCAUGCACGAAAGCGUGGGGAGCAAACAGG
rnacentral:rRNA from 1 species